rnacentral:misc_RNA from 1 species
GAAAUGUGAUAAGUAGUGUGAAUUGCAGAAUUCAGUGAAUCAUCGAAUCUUUGAACGCACAUUGCGCCCCUUGGUAUUCCAUGGGGCAUGCCUGUUCGAGCGUCAUCUACACCCUCAAGCUCUGCUUGGUGUUGGGCGUCUGUCCCGCCCCCGCGCGUGGACUCGCCCCAAAUCCAUUGGCAGCGUUCCUUGCCCCCUCUCGCGCAGCACAUUGCGCUUCUCGAGGGCGGCUCCGGGACGCGAUCCAGCAAGAUGACCACCGUCUUUGACCUCGGAUCAGGUAGGGAUACCCGCUGAACUUAAGC